CAGCCGCCACGGUAAUGCGGAGGGUGCAAGCGUUAAUCGGAAUUACUGGGCGUAAAGCGUGCGUAGGCGGUUCGUUAAGUCUGUUGUGAAAGCCCCGGGCUCAACCUGGGAAUGGCAAUGGAUACUGGCGAGCUAGAGUGUGUCAGAGGAUGGUGGAAUUCCCGGUGUAGCGGUGAAAUGCGUAGAGAUCGGGAGGAACAUCAGUGGCGAAGGCGGCCAUCUGGGACAACACUGACGCUGAGGCACGAAAGCGUGGGGAGCAAACAGGAUUAGAUACCCGGGUAGUCCCUGUCUCUUAUAC
rnacentral:rRNA from 1 species